UCUGACCUCACAGAAUCACUCUCUGAAUAAUAUGGCUGCAGAAGAGAAUCCAGGGGUCAAGAAAUCUGGAAAAGAACCAUCUGUUCACAGUCUUCCUUCAGCUACAGGCCAAAACCUGUUUUUAUCCACCUUUUAUAAGGCCAUCACUUGUGUGACCCUACAGCAGAGCUGCCCUGGGGUCUCCCCAGUGCUGCUCCAGUGAAGGAACACUCAGUAAAAGCAACCCUGCACCCCUGUGCACGAGCACACCUCACAAAGGCAGGGAACUGCAUUGGGGUCCAAGCUCCACCACAGCUUUGGUCACUAUGGUUUGCUGAGCAGCUGCGGCUUCUGUUUUCCUUCAGACUCCCCUUUUCUCCUGGUCUAUUGAGACUGCAAGCUCUGUAGGACAAGAAAAAUGUUUCCCUGAGUGUUUACUCAGCAGCCAGGCUCCAUCAAGGCAAGGCCUGGAGUCCCCAGGAACACAGAGAACUGUUAUCUCACCAAGCUGUCCUCAACCUGCUGGGGACAGUGAUUUACUGUCUGCAAGGGAGGUUCUGCUAGAGUGCACAGCUCUGAACUGACUUCACACAGAGCCAUUACCUCAUGUGCCGGGCCCUGACUAGAUCAGGAGUGCAGACAGCAAACUAUAAACUUCUAACAGCAAUACAUAAAGAGAAUGGGCCCUCCCAGGAAACCAGUGAGACCAGUAUGGAAUGAGAGAGAGCUGCCUGCACACAGCCCUUCCCAGCCACACUCCCACCCUCACUCCCAGCAGCAGCGAUCCUGCUCCUUCCAUCCCUGGUGGAAAUGAACCCUGCUGGGUUACACAAACACACGGAGCUCAGAAGAUGUCACAAGUCUGACCUCUGCCUUCCUUUGCUGGAUUUCUCAGCGUUUGACGCUGGCUGUCGAACAGAAUAAAUGAGGGGAUCCACAGAGAGCAACAUCAAUGAGCCCAAAGGAAUUCUGGCCAGACACAGAAGACAACAAAAGCCUGUGGAAAUGAUCUAAGGAUGUCACUUGGCAACCUUAAGAUUAUUGUCUUGUUUUGUAUGUAUUGGGUUUGAAAAGCUGAUAAUUGUUCUCGUGUGCCAGUGGAGAUUAGAAGACCAUUUGUGUUGGUAUCAAAGGAGACAAAAUCUUUUUCCACCCUCUCCAAGAAGCAGCAACACCAUCUUUCUACUAGGCAAUGUCUCUUCUUGUGAGACUCCAGUAAAACAAUGGUGUUUUAUCA